GCCAAGUGCUAAAUAUUUGCCGUCGCUCGAAAAACAGCAUGAAGUAACCGGCUCCUGAGUUUUCCUUUCGAAGCAACUGCUAAUUUUAAGUUGAGUUUCCAUCGUCGUAUCAAAAUGUAUAACCUUGAAGGAUUUCUCGAAGAGGACCUCCUCGGUGAGAAACCAAUAAUUCCAAUAGGAAAUUUUCCUUUGCGACACCACCAGAAGUUUCUUGAGCACAUUGAAACUGCAGCAAAUAUCGUCACGCCAACCAGGCCGGGAUUCAUCUCGCAAUUUAUGCGCGGAAUCUGUAUAAACAAACAAAACACCGCUCGCAGUCGCAGCCACGACCAUAUUGUCCAAAGCCUCCAGCGAAACAAAAACAAAUAAUAUAUGAGUCAUACAAGUGUGAUGACAAUGAACUACGAAUUGAAUCCUACCUGAUUAACGAGAUGGUAGUGGUUAGGUGAGAUGUCGACGUUUUUCGUCUUGAGGUAAUCCAGCAGACUGUUGAUGCUCGUGUUCAGCGUUAAACUCUCCUGGAGCUCGGGCCACAGCUCGCGGAAGAGCUGCUGCUGGACGACGUCCAUUUUCAGCACGCGUCGAAUAUGUUUAAUGAAUGUAUUAAAUUCGCUACUUGACAAUAGUUGAAGACUUUUGGUGUUGGCGUAAUACCAUGGGCAUGGUUUCGCGGACGAUUAGCGGUUGGCACGAGACAAUUAUUACCGACAAAAACAACCGAAUACACAACCGUUGUUACCA